CUGGCUCAGGAUUAACGCUGGCGGCAUGCCUAAUACAUGCAAGUCGAAUGGGGAGCUUGCUUCCCAUGGCGAACGGGUGAGUAAUACGUAGGUAACCUACCUUUAGGACGAGGAUAACCUUUGGAAACGAAGGAUAAUACUGGAUAGUAUAGAUUUCCGCAUGGAGAUAUAUUUAAAGAUUUAUCACCUAGAGAGGGGCCUGCGGUGCAUUAGCUAGUUGGCGGGAUAAAGCCCACCAAGGCGAUGAUGCAUAGCCGGACUGAGAGGUUGUACGGCCACAAUGGAACUGAGAACGGUCCAUACUCCUACGGGAGGCAGCAGUAGGGAAUUUUCGGCAAUGGGCGGAAGCCUGACCGAGCCAAUGCCGCGUGAAUGAUGAAGUAUUUCGGUAUGUAAAGUUCUUUUAUCUAGGAAGAAAAAACAAAUUGACGGUACUAGAUGAAUAAGCUCCGGCUAACUACGUGCCAGCCGCCGC
rnacentral:rRNA from 1 species